rnacentral:rRNA from 1 species
UACGUAGGGUCCGAGCGUUGUCCGAGAUUAUUGGGCGUAAAGGGCUCGUAGGCGGUUUGUCGCGUCGGGAGUGAAAACACGGGGCUUAACCCCGUGCCUGCUUCCGAUACGGGCAGACUAGAGGUAUGCAGGGGAGAACGGAAUUCCUGGUGUAGCGGUGAAAUGCGCAGAUAUCAGGAGGAACACCGGUGGCGAAGGCGGCAUCCUGGACCAAUACUGACACUGAGGAGCGAAAGCCAGGGGAGCAAACGGG